rnacentral:lncRNA from 1 species
CAGGAGCAUUAUGGUUAUUCCAGAUCUCUACAUGAAUGCCAAAGGAGAGACAGCAUCCAACUUUGAGUGGCUGAAGAAUCUAAAUCAUGUCAGCUAUGGCUGUUUGACCUUCAAAUAUGAAAGGGAGUGUAACUACCACUUGCUAAUAUCUGUUCAAGAGAAUUUAGCAAGAAAAUUUGGAAAGCACAGUGGAACUAUUCUCAUUAUACCCACAGCAGAGUUCCAAGACAGGAUAUCAGGUGCAUCAGAGAAAGACACCAUGCAUGCUGACUUGGUGUACGCAAUGGAGAGUUCUGCCAGGCAAAUUUUGUGCAUAGCCAUGAGGUAUAACCUGGGAUUGGACAUGAGGACCACCGUCUAUGUCAACGCCAUUGAGAAAGUGUUCAAAGUAUACAAUGAAGCCAGAGUGACCUUCACG